rnacentral:lncRNA from 1 species
AAAUAAAUAAUAAUAAAAGAAACAUAUAUGACAAUGUAACUUAGGUUUUGUUUGGAAUUAUGAAAAAAUUGCGUUACGUACGAUGAGAAAGUACAAUGAGUGUUUGAUUCCGUACGUAAUAUUGCGCUCUGUAUAUCACGAUGAGUCGAUUACGAUAUAUUUUUUAUAGUCCUAUCGGAAAAUGCGGAAGCAUAACUAUAUAUACCUUUAUUCAAACUCUAUUUUCUCUAAUAACAUCAGAUGGAGCUCAAUACCAAACUAAACCUUAGCCUCGUAAGCCAAUGCUAUUAUGAACCACCAAAAU